rnacentral:rRNA from 1 species
ACGCUCGACACCUACGGGAGGCAGCAGUGGGGAAUAUUGCACAAUGGGGGAAACCCUGAUGCAGCAACGCCGCGUGAAGGAAGAAGGUUUUCGGAUCGUAAACUUCUAUCAAUAGGGAAGAAAGAAAUGACGGUACCUAAAUAAGAAGCCCCGGCUAACUACGUGCCAGUAGCCGCGGUAAUCUGAGCGGGCUGGCAAGGC